AUCUGCAAAGUAUCCACCCUGAGAACACCCGAUCUCGUCUGACCUCGGGAGCUAAGCAGGGUCGGGCCCGGUUAGUACUAUUCCAACAUGGAUUUAGGAGGGGCAGGUCCUGCCGCUC
rnacentral:rRNA from 1 species